CCCAGGGGAUCCCGAACAGGGGCAGAAGCCGUACCCGGACCCUAAAAGACUGUACCUCUGCUCAGAGUGUGGCAAGAGGUUCACCACAGCGCCUUUACUAAAGUCUCACAUGAAGUCUCACAGUGGGGAGAUACACCACCAGUGCUCCGUCUGUGGGAAGUGUUUCCUGCUGUUCCAGGACCUCAAGAGACACCGGGAGAUACACAAAGGUGAGAGAGACACCGGGAGAUACACAAAGGUGAGAGAGACACCGGGAGAUACACAAAGGUGAGAGAGAGACACCGGGAGAUACACAAAGGUGAGAGAGAGACACCGGGAGAUACACAAAGGUGAGAGAGAGACACCGGGAGAUACACAAAGGUGAGAGGGAGACACCGGGAGAUACACAAAGGUGAGAGGGAGACACCGGGAGAUACACAAAGGUGAGAGAGAGAUACACAAAGGUGAGAGAGAGAUACACAAAGGUGAGAGAGAGAUAC
ensembl:lncRNA